GAUGAACGCUGGCGGCGUGCCUAAUACAUGCAAGUCGAGCGAACAGAUAAGGAGCUUGCUCCUUUGACGUUAGCGGCGGACGGGUGAGUAACACGUGGGUAACCUACCUAUAAGACUGGAAUAACUCCGGGAAACCGGGGCUAAUGCCGGAUAACAUUUAGAACCGCAUGGUUCUAAAGUGAAAGAUGGUUUUACUAUCACUUAUAGAUGGACCCGCGCCGUAUUAGCUAGUUGGUAAGGUAACGGCUUACCAAGGCAACGAUACGUAGCCGACCUGAGAGGGUGAUCGGCCACACUGGAACUGAGACACGGUCCAGACUCCUACGGGAGGCAGCAGUAGGGAAUCUUCCGCAAUGGGCGAAAGUCUGACGGAGCAACGCCGCGUGAGUGAUGAAGGUCUUCGGAUCGUAAAACUCUGUUAUUAGGGAAGAACAAAUGUGUAAGUAACUGUGCACGUCUUGACGGUACCUAAUCAGAAAGCCACGGCUAACUACGUG
rnacentral:rRNA from 1 species